GGGCGCGUAGCUCAGAUGGUAGAGCACUUGACUUUUAAUCAAGUGGUCCCGGGUUCGAGUCCCGGCGCGCUCACCA
rnacentral:tRNA from 1 species